UGAUACUAUUUUGAAUUUCAUGACACUUUGUUUUUAACCGACCCAAUUUUUACUUGGCUGAAAUCACUUACAUUUCAUGGCGCUAUUCCAUAGAUAAAAAAUUGUAAAAAAUAAAUGUCUGUAAAAGAAUACUUAUUUCAUCUUGUUUAAUCUUUAAACACCUUUACUGCAUCUGUACACACCAACUGCAUGCCCAUAUUUGGAAAUUUGAAUAAAUUAUGGAACUUUUAUAUACCCCAGGAGUGAAAAUAAACUGGACAAAAGCCGAGCGUGAGGGUGGUUUUGAAAAAAUCGGUAUAUUUUUUUUAAAAAGCAUGGAAAGCCUACCUACAAAUUUGCAUGUAGUUCAGUGAAAUGAUGCUGAUUAGGAAAAUAAUUAAUUAAAUUAUAUUUGGAUAUGUGCCCAUUAGGGGUGCGCUACCUUAAGAUUGAAAUAAUCGUACAAUUAUCAUCAAUUAAAUAACUAAGAUAAUUAAUUAUUCGAUAGUCGCUACUGAACAUAUUUGAUAACUUGCCACAUACUUUUGUGCUAUCAUAUUCAUAGUGUCCUUGUUCGAUACUGUAAUCUAUAUGCACAUGCAUAUAAUAUUGUUUCGCGAAUAUAUAAACACGCGAGCAAAUGCCUAACUUGUCAGUAAAGAAAUAAUUUCUUUGUCAGUAAAGAAAUAAUCUGCUGGCCCCACGGGACAAGUCUUUAUCAUUUAAAAAAGCAAACAAAUCGUUACAAAAAUUUAAUUAUUUGGCUAGAUGUACUUUCAAAAUAAUGUUGACACUAAACCGAUAACGCGCAAAGUAUGCAAGUUUUUACACAAUAUAAAGAGAUAAAUUUCAUAGUUCUAUUCGAACACUUUUGCAGUUGACCCAUAAGUUUAAAUUUAAAGGGAUCUUUUCACGCUUUGGUAAAUUGACAAAAUUGAAAAAAGUUGUUUCAGAUUCGCAAAUUUUCGUUUUAGUUAUGAUAUUUGUGAGGAAACAGUAAUACUGAACAUUUACCAUGGUCUAAUAUAGCCAUUAUAUGCAUCUUUUGACGAUUUGAAAACCUAAAAAUUAUAAAGCGUUGCAACGCGAAACGAUUGAAUAAUUUGGAGAGUUCUGUUUUUGUCGUUAAAUUUUGUGAAACUACGAAGAUUGCUUAUAUAAGGUAUAAAAUACGUCAAGUAUGUGUACUCGGCGGAAUAGCUCAGUAGGCUAAAGCGUUUUUACUUCAGGACUCUGGCAGGACUCCAGGGGUCACUGGUUCGAAACCUGCUCCGGUCAAUGUUCUUUUCCUUUUUUAAAUUUUAUUCUUGAUUUUUUACUGAAGCUUUUACGAUCCAAUGUUUACAUUUAUCAAUAUAAAGCAUUUAAUGAAUAAGUUAAAAAGUGCCAAAAUCUGUGAAAAGGCCCCUUUAAAACUUCCGCUUGCUGUUUAUUAACGUAUUGUAGAUUUAUCUAUACAUUGUAGUUACAGUUUACAUUCCCAAGUUCCAGUCAGUGAUUGUUUUUUAAGUUUCAUCUCCAGAAGAUUGAAUCGUUUUGCGAGAACAAGGGCAUCCCCAAGUGGAAGAUCCGCCAACAUACUGCUCUUGGCAGGAAACAGUCGACAAUCACCACAAUGGCGUCUCUGGCACUAUGUGGCAUGCUUCCGGUAAUCAUAAUGGACCCGGCCGACAAAAAAUAUUCAACCGCAGUUUCGAACAGAAUGCGAACGCGCAUGCAAAAGAUGACGCACCAAAGUCCAAUAACGUCACGAUUAACGCUCUCGUUUCGGCCA